CCACACUGGAACUGAGACACGGUCCAGACUCCUACGGGAGGCAGCAGUGGGGAAUAUUGCACAAUGGGCGCAAGCCUGAUGCAGCCAUGCCGCGUGUAUGAAGAAGGCCUUCGGGUUGUAAAGUACUCUGGAGGUAUCGGAGAUACGUACGCGCUUGAAACGUUCCUGAAGCUCGGCCAGUUUAUCAACGGUUUUCUGCAUCAGUUCCGGGGUACGGUAAAUACCGCAACCUUCUUCCAUAGACAGACCCAUCU
rnacentral:rRNA from 1 species